rnacentral:lncRNA from 1 species
AUGGGGAACCAGUAGGUAUUUAAUUUAGUGUAUUUUCUGUGUUUUAAAUAUUUUGACUAUUUUAGAUAUUUAUUUUCAACUGUUUUUGAUAUUUUCAAGUAUUUUUUAAAAAUUCGAAUAUUUUUGAGUAUUUUAGAUAUUUUGAAUAGUAAAUAAAAACAAUUCACUUGCGAAAACUGCAUUUUCUAUUGAUCCAACCACUCUUCUGACCUGAACCGGUUAUGAAUCAAAGUUUGUUGUUUAAAAAAAUAGAUAUAUUUAAACAUAUAAAUGGGAUUUGAAUAUUUUUGAGCACUCGAAAUAUUUUGGUUUGAACCAUAUUUGGUUCUGGUCCUUCAUAUACCAAAGUUUUGGACCUGUUUGAAUAUUUUACCAGUUUCGAUUAAGUAUUGGCAUAACUUUUUAUUCAGUUCAGUUUUUCGGGUUUGAAUAUUUUUCUCAGCCUAUGCCAUGUGGUUUCUUAAAUUAAAUAUUAGAAAUUUAGGUGAGAGAAAAUAUUA